rnacentral:pre_miRNA from 1 species
UCUUAUGGAUGAGCAAAGAAAGUGGUUUCUUGACAUGCCUGAGAUGAAUCUACUUCUGGUGAAGAUGCUAUUAA